GAUGAAGAACGCAGCGAAAUGCGAUAAGUAAUGCGAAUUGCAGAAUUCAGUGAAUCAUCGAAUCUUUGAACGCACAUUGCGCCCGCCAGUAUUCUGGCGGGCAUGCCUGUUCGAGCGUCAUUUCAACCCUCAAGCACAGCUUGGUGUUGGGACUCGCGUUAAUUCGCGUUCCCCAAAUUGAUUGGCGGUCACGUCGAGCUUCCAUAGCGUAGUAGUAAAACCCUCGUUACUGGUAAUCGUCGCGGCCACGCCGUUAAACCCCAACUUCUGAAUGUUGACCUCGGAUCAGGUAGGAAUACCCGCUGAACUUAAGCAUAUCAAUAAGCGGAGGA
rnacentral:misc_RNA from 1 species